rnacentral:rRNA from 1 species
AUGUCGACCGACGCCGCUGCCGCCGACAUCCCGGUGCCUCAGGUGGAGGCGACCGCCGACCCCGUCGUGGAGACCACGACUGACGCCCCCGCCGGCGACGCCAAGACGACCAAGGCGACCAAGGCCAAGGCCGCAAAGACCCCCAAGGCGCCCAAGGUGAAGAAGCCCUCCGCCCCGAGGAAGCCCAAGGCCGCCCCCGCCCACCCGACCUACGCUGAGAUGGUGGCGGAGGCGAUCGCCGCGCUGAAGGAGAGAGGCGGGUCGAGCACCGUCGCCAUCGCCAAGUACAUCGAGGACAAGCACAAGGCGCACCUCCCGGCCAACUUCCGCAAGUUCAUGCUGACGCAGAUCAAGAAGCUCGUCGCCGCCGGCAAGCUGACCAAGGUCAAGGCCUCCUACAAGCUCACCAAGGCCCCCGCAGCGCCCAAGAAGCCCAAGACCAAGGCGCCAGCCAAGAAGAAGCCCGCGGCGAAGAAGGCGCCGGCCAAGAAGCCCGCCGCCAAGUCCCCAGCCAAGAAGAAGCCCGCCGCCAAGCCCAAGGCCAAGGCCCCCGCCAAGACCACCAAGGCCGCCGCCAAGCCCAAGGCGGCAACGAAGCCCAAGGCCGCCGCCAAGACCAAGGCUCCAGCCAAGACCACCAAGGCCGCCGCGAAGCCCAAGCCGGCCGCCAAGACGAAGGCGCCCGCCAAGCCUCGGGGCCGCCCCGCCAAGGCCGCCAAGACCUCCGCCAAGGACGCGCCAGGGAAGAAGGCGCCCGCCGCCGCCGCCACCCCCAAGAAGGCCGCCCCCAGGAAGCCGCCCACCAAGCGGUCGGCGCCGGUGAAGAAGGCCGCGCCCGCCAAGAAGACCCCCGCCAAGAAGGCCAAGAAGUAG